rnacentral:rRNA from 1 species
UACAGAGGUCCCGAGCGUUGUUCGGAUUCACUGGGCGUAAAGGGUGCGUAGGCGGUUGGGUAAGUCUGAUGUGAAAUCUCCGGGCUCAACCCGGAAAUGGCAUUGGAUACUAUUCGGCUAGAGGUUUGGAGGGGGGACUGGAAUUCUCGGUGUAGCAGUGAAAUGCGUAGAUAUCAAGAGGAACACCAGUGGCGAAGGCGAGUCCCUGGACAACUCCUGACACUGAGGCACGAAAGCUAGGGGAGCAAACAGG